rnacentral:rRNA from 1 species
UACGGGGGGAGCAAGCGUUGUUCGGAUUUACUGGGCGUAAAGGGCGCGUAGGCGGCGCAACAAGUCACUUGUGAAAUCUCCGGGCUUAACCCGGAGCGGCCAAGUGAUACUGUCGUGCUAGAGUGCGGAAGGGGCUACUGGAAUUCUCGGUGUAGCGGUGAAAUGCGUAGAUAUCAGGAGGAACACCGGUGGCGAAGGCGGGUCUCUGGGCAACAACUGACGCUGAGGAGCGAAAGCGUGGGGAGCGAACAGG